rfam:Triticum urartu cultivar G1812 contig663352, whole genome shotgun sequence.
UUAGUACUCCCUCCGUCCGAAAAAGACUUGUCCUUCAAAUGAAUGUAUCUAGCAUCAAGUUAGUGCUAUAUACAUUCAUUUGAGAAACAAGCUUGGGACAAGCUUUUCCGGACGGAGGGAGUAGCAC